GCCCACCCAAAGUGGAAGUGAUAACAUCACAGCCAGGUGCGGUAGUUUCUCUUCUGCGCUCGCAGCAACGGCGUCUGAGUGUUGGCGUCCCGCCACGCCAGCCGGCCCCUCCCCCGCGCGCGGGCGCACGCCAGCAGCACGCUAUGGAAGACGCCCUGGGACGGCGACGUGAAGGCCUGACGCACAAACACACAUGACCUCUGAUCGGUGAAAGGCGGCGCCGCAGAUCACCCACCUGAAUGACGUAGACCACCGCAGAGGCCGAGCUCGCGUUCCUCGAUGACAUCAUCACCAGACACGCCGCUGAAAUAUCACAUGAGCUUUUUUUUCCCGCAUCAACACACAAAGAAAAUAAACAAAAACGACAAACUGACCAGGUCCCCAGCAGAGGGCGAAGACGAGUGGGAACGCCAGCAUCCGAAAGUCCAGCCAACGGAAUGAGGCCCGCUGCUGGUUGCCAAGGAACAAAGAGGAAAAGAGCCAUCUGGAUUGUUAUAGGCGCAAAGUUGAAAAGCCAGCAUCUGUGAUGGAAUGGGGAUGUAUCAGUGCCGAAUGCAAGGCAAGAAAAUGCCAAGCCACGCGUGGCUUUGAAGUAAAAGAGUGCGGGUACUAGACUGGCCUGCCUGUAGUCCACACCUGUCUCCUAUUGAAAAUGUGUGGCGCAAUCUGAAGCCUAAAAUACCACAACAGACACUCCGGACUGUUGAACAACUUAAGCUGUUCAAGCAAGAAUGGGGAAUAAUUUCACCUGAAAAGCUACAAAAAUUGGUCUCCUCAGUUAUCCAAAUGUUUAUUGAGUGUUGUUAAAAGGAAAGGCAAUGUAACAGUGGUAAAAAUGCCUCCAUGCCAACUUUUUUUUGCAAUAUGUUGCUGCCAUUAAAUUGUAAGUUAAUGAUUAUUUGCAAAAAAAAACCAUUAAGUAUCUUGUCUUUGCAGUCUAUUCCAUUAAAUAUAAGU